rnacentral:misc_RNA from 1 species
GAUGAAGAACGUAGCGAAAUGCGAUACUUGGUGUGAAUUGCAGAAUCCCGUGAACCAUCGAGUCUUUGAACGCAAGUUGCGCCUCAAGCCAUUAGGUUGAGGGUACGUCUGCCUGGGCGUCACAUAUCGUUGCCUGAUGCCAGUUUCCUCGUGAUGGGUGACUGUGCAGGGCGAAUGAUGGCUUCCCGUGAGCAUUGUUGCCUCAUGGUUGGUUGAAAAUUGAGUCCUUGGUAGGGAGCGCCGUGAUAGAUGGUGGUUGAGUGACGAACGAGACCCAAUCAUGUGAGACCCCUACCGAAUUUGGCCUUCAUGACCCACAUGCGUCUUUGGAACGCUCAUGACGAGACCUCAGGUCAGGCGGGGCUACCCGCUGAGUUUAAGCAUAUCAAUAAGCGGAGGA